UACGUAGGGUGCAAGCGUUGUCCGGAAUUAUUGGGCGUAAAGAGCUCGUAGGCGGUUUGUUGCGUCGGCUGUGAAAUCCCGAGGCUCAACCUCGGGUCUGCAGUCGAUACGAGCAAACUAGAGUGUUGCAGGGGAGAACGGAAUUCCUGGUGUAGCGGUGAAAUGCGCAGAUAUCAGGAGGAACACCGGUGGCGAAGGCGGUGGUCUGGGCCGGAACUGACGCUGAGGAGCGAAAGCGUGGGGAGCGAACAGG
rnacentral:rRNA from 1 species